GGUCAAGCGAAUAAGGGCUAAUGGU
rnacentral:rRNA from 6 species